GUCGUAAUAAGGUUUCCGUAGGUGAACCUGCGGAAGGAUCAUUGCUAUGAUCGAUUCGCUCCGCGAAUUGUAUCGUUCUUCCCCGCGCCCAGCGGGGAACACACACACACACACACACCAAACACAAUGCUAAAGCCAUUCCUCGUGCCUCGGCACGCGGAAGAAAAGAUAACCAAAACUCUCAACAACGGAUAUCUUGGCUCUCGCAACGAUGAAGAACGCAGCGAAAUGCGAUACGUAGUGCGAAUUGCAGGAUGUAAGCGAGUCAUCGAAUCUUUGAACGCAUAUUGCGCCCGAGGCUCCGGCCGAGGGCAUGUCUGCCAGAGCGUCAGCCGAUACCCUCAACUCCACCUUCUGGGUGGACGUUGGACCUGGCCGUCCCGCGGGACCGAUGCGUCGGUCGAGCGGGUCGGCUGAAGCGCAGCGGCGCGCCUCGCCCCCGCCUCCGAGCCUUCGGCUCGGAGGCGGUUCGGACUAUCCGUCGUGGUAAGUGGGAUUCUUCCCGCACCUCUUCCGACGGGUGUUCCGGUAAUCCGGGCGCGGCGUCAGCCGGCGGGAGCCCUCUCCGAGCCGCUCCCGCCCCCCACUCUUCACCUUUUGACCUCAGAUCAGGCAAGGCUACCCGCCGAAUUUAAGCAUAUCACUAAGCGGAGGAAAAGAAACUAACCAGGAUUCCCCUAGUAACGGCGAGUGAACCGGGAAGAGCCCAACUUGAAAAUCCGGAGCCCCUGCGGCUUCUGAAUUGUAGUCUUUAGAUCGCUGCCCCUGCGGCGGCCUCGGCCCAAGUCCCCUGGAAUGGGGCACCAGAGAGGGUGAGAGCCCCGUCGGCCGAGUCACCGUCGCUCCACGGGGCGCUUUCGCAGAGUCGAGUUCUUUGGGAAUGGAGCUCCAAUUGGGUGGUAAAUUCCAUCUAAGGCUAAAUACUGGCGAGAGACCGAUAGCGAACAAGUACCGUGAGGGAAAGAUGAAAAGAACUUUGAAAAGAGAGUUAAAAAGUACUUGAAAUUGUUGAGGGGGAAGCGUUUGGAAGUCGGAGUGCGCCCCGGUGUUAGGCUGGCUGAAGAGCCGGUUCACUCGCGCGGGGCGCCGGUCAGCCCGGGUUCGGGGGGCGGUACAAUCUUGCCGCUUCCUGGACUUCGGCUGGCGAAAGGCUUCCAACCGACCCGUCUAGAAACACGGACCAAGGAGUCUAACAUGUAUGCGAGUCGGCGGGUGGAAAACCCGUAGGCGCAAGGAAACUGACUGAACAGCAUCGACCAACCAUGAUCUUCUGUGAAAGGUUUGAGUACGAGCAUACCUGUUGGGACCCGAAAGAUGGUGAACUAUGCGUGA
rnacentral:rRNA from 1 species